UACGGAGGGUGCGAGCGUUGUCCGGAAUCAUUGGGCGUAAAGGGCGCGUAGGUGGCCCGGUCAGUCUUUGGUGAAAGCGCGGGGCUCAACCCUGCGUCGGCCAGGGAUACUGCCGCGGCUCGAGCACUGUAGAGGCAGGCGGAAUUCCGGGUGUAGCGGUGGAAUGCGUAGAGAUCCGGAGGAACACCAGCGGCGAAGGCGGCAUCCUGGACUGGUCCUGACACUCAGGAGCGAAAGCGUGGGGAGCGAGUCCGG
rnacentral:rRNA from 1 species